rnacentral:rRNA from 1 species
CGUUAGCGGCGGACGGGUGAGUAACACGUGGGUAACCUACCUAUAAGACUGGGACAACUUCGGGAAACCGGAGCUAAUACCGGAUAAGAUAUCGAACCGCAUGGUUCGAUAGUGAAAGAUGGUUUUGCUAUCACUUAUAGAUGGACCCGCGCCGUAUUAGCUAGUUGGUGAGGUAACGGCUCACCAAGGCAACGAUACGUAGCCGACCUGGGAGGGUGAUCGGCCACACUGGAACUGAGACACGGUCCAGACUCCUACGGGGGGCAGCAGUA